rnacentral:rRNA from 1 species
UACGGAGGGGGCACGCGUUAUUCGGAAUUAUUGGGCGUAAAGGGCGCGUAGGCGGCUAGAUGUGUCAAAGGUGAAAUCCCUCGGCUCAACUGAGGAACUGCCUUUGAAACUGUCUGGCUUGAGGCCGGGAGAGGGUAGCGGAAUUCCCAGUGUAGCGGUGAAAUGCGUAGAUAUCGGGAGGAACACCAAUGGCGAAGGCAGCUCGCUGGGACGUGACUGACGCUGAGACGCGAAAGCGUGGGGAGCAAACAGG